rnacentral:rRNA from 1 species
GCUUAACACAUGCAAGUCGAACGAGCUCCAACCAGUCGCAAGACUGGGGAAGAGCUAGUGGCGAACGGGUGAGUUACACGUGAGCAACCUGCCUCGAAGACUGGGAUAACAGCGGGAAACCGCUGCUAAUACCGGAUAUCCCCAUUGGGCCGCAUGACCCGAUGAGGAAAUGAAUUUCGCUUCGAGAGGGGCUCGCGGGCUAUCAGCUUGUUGGUGGGGUAACGGCCCACCAAGGCUACGACGGCUAGCUGGUCUGAGAGGACGACCAGCCACACUGGGACUGAGACACGGCCCAGACUCCUACGGGAGGCAGCAGUGGGGAAUCUUGCGCAAUGGGCGAAAGCCUGACGCAGCAACGCCGCGUGCGGGAUGACGGCCUUCGGGUUGUAAACCGCUUUCAGCAGGGACGAAAUUGACGGUACCUGCAGAAGAAGCUCCGGCAACUACGUGCCAGCAGCCGCGGUAAUACGUAGGGAGCGAGCGUUGUCCGGAUUCAUUGGGCGUAAAGCGCUUUAAGGCGGUUCGCUAAGUCGCGUGUGAAACCU